AAAGGAAUUGUCCUCAAUUCAAUAAGAACUAGGUUGUGUCGUUCUACCAUACGAACCUUCCAUGAUAGCAGGUCUUCAAAAAACUUUUUAUUGUAGAAUGUGACCUUUUCAUUACUCCAAGUUGGUCUCUUCUCCUCAUAUACAUGUUCUUCUUCAAACAACACAAAGUACUCGCUGAAUUCAGUCCUAACAAUAUCUUCCAUUUGUGGAUCGAAAGCCACCUUCAUACAUUCCCAUGAACAUGAUUAUGAACCUUCAAAUUAACCUUGCAAUAAUUUAAAUGGUUAAUAGCAGUUAUUUUAAAGAAUGGAUCAUGGUUUGUAUUUAUAAUUUGACGAGCAGCAUGCCCCAAUAUCAUGGCUUCCCAAUUUAAGACACACCAAAAGAAUAUGAGUCCAAACAUCUUGAGUUCCCUCCCACGUAAAUACUUGGGACUUGGAUUUUCAUGCUGAUUAAUUUCUUCUUCUUUGCUCUUAGAAAGAUGGUUUUUAAAAAGAUGGAUACCAUCCUUCUUCUUUCUUUCAUCACAAAUUUCACGCCAUCGGUCUUGGUGUUUUUAACAAUACAUAAAGAAUUAAUAAAAGUAUGUUUUGUUUGUGGACAACACAGGAAAUUCGCAUAAGAAUUACCAUGCAAUGCCUCUUUUCGUGACUAAUUGCUACCACAAUGAACACAUAUUUUUUUUGGAAAUCUUCAUAUCGUCUUUUAGAGGGUACACAAUUCUGCCAUCAUCUAAAAAUAAUUGGUCUUGCUGUUUUUGAAUCACGAAUGAAAUGUCUCCAUCUCCAAUUGCACAAAACUUUUUAUCAAAAGUAAUAUGCAAGUCUUUUUUUUAUCCUUUUGAUCAAUUAAUGAAGCCAAAACAAAACCAUCAUUUUUAAGAUCACAAUCAGUAAAAUUCAACCUCUCACCAUACUUCCUCCACUCGUCAAGGCCUUCAAAAUGCAAAAUAUAAGCAUUCCAUGGCCUCCUAAGUGUAAAAAUUUCCCACACUAUGAAACGAACAUGAAGAUGAAAAACAAAUAAACCUUUUUGAUCAAUGAAGCUUCUAAUUUGGUUUACUUUAAGAUCUUUAGAAAAGGAAUUACAUAAAAGAUAUGAGAAGUUGAAUUUUUGUGUCACUUAUAGUCAUUGGUUCUUGUGGUUGUGAGCUCAUGGAAUGAAAUUUGUUGUUCAACAAAAAUCACCAUUUCUUCAACAAUUUUAUCCUUAUCAACAAAAUUAAUCUCUUCCAUAAUUGAUUCAACGAUUUUGUCUCUGACCAUAAAAUUAAUUUCUUCUUCAAUUUCUUCAAUAAAUUCCUCUUCAACCAAGAAAUUUAGUCUUUCACAAAAAUCCCCAUCCCUAUCGGUGUCAUGGAUGGGACCCAAUUCUUUUUCUUCCUCUUCUUUAACUUUAUCUUCCUCUUUCUUCUUCAUCAUAUAACUUACGCAUCAUGUUUGGUUAACAGAUUUUGAAUAGGAACUGAAAUCAAACAAACUUAGUAGGAUUUUUUUGAACAAGAACUCAACAACACCCAAUCAAAACUGGGCUCUAAUACCACUUAUGAUUCGUGUAUGGGCUUGAUUUAGUGAGUAUGGUAGUGUGUAGGUAAAUUAGGAGAGAAUAACAACCAAAAAUGAUAUGUGAAAGGAAAGAAAUGGAUAGAAUAGUAACAACUUAAGAACUAGUGAAAACAAUCCAAGACCUAUUGGAUUGAGUUCGUGUUAAGUCAAGAACAUGUCUCAACAAGAUAAUUAGUGAAUUAUAACAAUAAUUCCAAGUGAACAAAGGUUCUUUUAAAAAAAAAUCGUGUAUGUCUCUUUUCCAUUAAAAAAAUCGGCUUAUAUGAAGCCUUAUUAGAAAUGUAGUGGUUACAAGCAAACCAACCAACCACUUAUUAAAGCGAGUAAAUGAAGCAAAAAGUUACUCCUCCAAACACAAAAAAACGUCUAUGACUUGAAAAACCACAAAUUUAAUGGAUAGAAUCUUAAAGAAGGAGUUAAAAAGCCAUCACGAUGUAACCCUAAUCCAACAAAGGUCACCAAAAACGUCUAGGAUGAGUUAUGAAGCUAAAAGUAACGGUUAGACAAUUUAAGAAGUCUUAGAAAAUAGCCCUUAAUUCAUCCAAGUCACCAUGCAAACAAAGUUAGCCAUAAUACCACUUGCCACAUCACCAUCCCACGUGGCAAGUAUCAUUCCAUUCUCAUUUUCAUAAUUUGUCAUUUCCACACAUGUAUCAUUCCCUCAUUCUUUGAAAGGAAUUGUCCUCACUUCAGUAAGAACCAUGUUGUGUCGUUCUCCCAUACGAACCUUCCAUGAUACUGCGUCUUGAAAACAAAUUUUUAUUGCAGAAUGUGACAUUUUCUUUACUGCAAGUUGGUAUCUUCUCCACUUAUACAUGUUCUUCUUCAAACAACUCAAAGUACUCGCUGAAUUCAAUUGUAACCGUAUCUUCCAUUUGUGGAUCAAAAACCACCUUCGUACAUUCCCAUGAACAAGAUUAAGAACCUCUUCAAAUUAACCUUGCAAUAACUUAAAAGGUUAAUAACAGUUAUUUUAAAGAAUGGAUCAUGGUUUGUAUUUAUAAGUUGACGAGCAGCACACCCAAUUUUUAUGGCUUCCCAGUUUAAGGCACACCAAAAGAAUGUGAGUCCAAACAUCAUGAGAUCCUUCCCAUGUAAAUACAUGGGACUUGGAUCUUCCUACUGAUUAAUUUCUUAUUCUUUGCUCUUAGAAAGAUGGUUUUUAAAAAUAUGGAUACCAUCCUUCUUCUUUCUUUCAUCACAAAUUUCACGCCAUCGGUCUUGGUGUUUUUAACAAUACAUAAAGAAUUAAUAAAAGUAUGUUUUGUUUGUGGACAACACAUAAUAUUGGCAUAAGAAUUGCCAAGCAAUGCUUGUUUUCGUGACUGAUUGCUACCACCAUGAACACGUAUUUUUUUUGGAAAUCUUCAUAUCAUCUUUUAGAGGGUACAAAAUUCUGCCAUCAUCUAAAAAUAAUUGGUCUUGCUGUUUUUGAAUCACGAAUGAAAUGUGUCCAUGUCCAAUUGCACAAAACUUUUUAUCAAAAGUAAUAUGCAAGUCUUUUUUUUAUCCUUUUGAUCAAUUAAUGAAGCCAAAACAAAACCAUCAUUUUUAAGAUCACAAUCAGUAAAAUUCAACCUCUCACCAUACUUCCUCCACUCGUCAAGGCCUUCAAAAUGCAAAAUAUAAGCAUUCCAUGGCCUCCUAAGUGUAAAAAUUUCCCACACUAUGAAACGAACAUGAAGAUGAAAAACAAAUAAACCUUCUUGAUCAAUGAAGCUUCUAAUUUGGAUUUCUUUAAGAUCGUUAGAAAAGGAAUUACAUAAAAGAUAUGAAAACUUGAAUUUUUGUGGCACUUAUACUCAUUGGUUCUUGUGGUUGUGAGCUAUUGGAAUGAAAUUUGUUGUUCAACAAAAAUCACCAUUUCUUCAACAAUUUUGUCCAUAUCAACAAAAUUGAUCUCUUCCACAAAUGCUUCAAUACUUUCGUCCCUGACCAUGAAAUUAAUUUCUUCCUCAAUUUCUUCAUUAAAUUCUUCUUCAACCAAGAAAUUUAUUCUUUCACAAAAAUCCCCUUCUGCAUCGGUGUCGUAGAUGGGACCGAAAUCUUCUUCCUCCUGUUCUUCAAUCUUAUCUUUUUUUUUCUUAAUCAUAUAACUUACGCAACAUGUUUGGUUAACAACUUCUGAACAGGAACUGAAAUCAAACAAAUUUAGCAAGAUUUUUAUGAACAAGAACUCAACAACACCCAAUCAGAAUUGGGCUCUGAUACCACUUAUGAUGCGUGUAUGGGCUUGAUUUAGUGAGUAGAGUAGUGUGUAGGUAAAGUAAGAGAGAAUAGCAACCAAAAAUGAUAUGUGAAAGGAAAGAAACGGAUAGAUUAGUAACAACUCAAGACCUAUUAAGUUGUAUACCGGUGAAAACAAUCCAAGACCUAUUGGAUUGAGUUCGUGUCAAGUCAAGAACACGUCCCAACAGGAUAAUUAGUGAAUUAUAACAAUAAUUCCAAGUGAACAAAGGUUCCUUUUUAAAAAAUUCGUGUAUGUCUUUUUUCCAUGCAAAAACUAGGCUUAUAUGAAGCCUUGUUACAAAUGUAGUGGCUACAAGAAAACCAACCAACCCCUUAUUAGAGCUAGUACAUGAAGCUAAAAGUAACUCCUCCAAACACGAAAAAAAAUGUCUAAGACUUGAAGAACCAGAAGAGUAAAGGAUAGAAUCUUAAAUAAGUAUUUAAGUAGCUAUCAAGAUAUAACCCUAAUCCACCAAAAGCCCACCGAGUAGUUAUGAAGCCAAAAGCAACAGUUGGGCAGUUUAAGAAGUCUUAAAAUAUAGCCCUUAAUUCAUCAAAGUCACCAUGAAAACGAAGUUAGCUAUAAUACGACUUACCACAUCACCAUCCCACAUGGCAAGUAUCAUUCCAUUCUUAUUUUCAUAAUUUGUCACUUCCACACAUGUAUCAUUCCCUCCUUCUUCAAAAGGAAUUGUCCUCAAUUCAUUAAGAACCAGGUUGUUUCGGGCUCCAAUAAAAACCUUCCAUGAUAGCAGGUCUUGAAAACAAAAUUUUCUUGUAGAAUGUGACCUUUUCUUUACUCCAAGUUGGUCUCUUCUCCACAUACACAUGUUCUUCUUCAAACAACUCAAAGUACUCUCUUAAUUUAAUCCUACCCGUAUCUUCCAUUUAUGGAUAAAAAACCACCUUGAUAUAUUCCCAUGAACUAGAUUAGGAACCUUCAAAUUAACCUUGCAAUAAUUUAAAUGGUUAAUAGCAGUUAUUUUAAAUAAUAGAUCAUGGUUUGUAUUUAU
rnacentral:lncRNA from 1 species